rnacentral:rRNA from 1 species
AGAGUUUGAUCAUGGCUCAGAUUGAACGCUGGCGGCAUGCCUUACACAUGCAAGUCGAACGCGAAAGGGGGCAACCCCGAGUAGAGUGGCGAACGGGUGAGCAAUACAUCGGAACAUUUCCUGUAGCGGGGGACAACCCCGAGAAAUCGGGGCUAAUACCGCAUACGAUCUACGGAUGAAAGUGGGGGACCGCAAGGCCUCACACUAUAGGAGUGGCCGAUGCCGGAUUAGCUAGUUGGUGAGGUAAUGGCCCACCAAGGCUACGAUCCGUAGCUGGUUUGAGAGAACGACCAGCCACACUGGGACUGAGACACGGCCCAGACUCCUACGGGAGGCAGCAGUGGGGAAUUUUGGACAAUGGGCGAAAGCCUGAUCCAGCCAUGCCGCGUGAGUGAAGAAGGCCUUCGGGUUGUAAAGCUCUUUCGGCGGGGACGAAAUGGCGCGGACGAAUAUUCCGCGUCGAUGACGGUACCCGAAGAAGAAGGACCGGCUAACUACGUGCCAGCAGCCGCGGUAAUACGUAGGGUCCAAGCGUUAAUCGGAAUUACUGGGCGUAAAGCGUGCGUAGGCGGUUUCGCAAGUCCGAUGUGAAAUCCCCGGGCUUAACCCGGGAACUGCGUUGGAAACUACGAGGCUAGAGUGCGGCAGAGGGGGGUGGAAUUCCAGGUGUAGCAGUGAAAUGCGUAGAGAUCUGGAGGAACACCGAUGGCGAAGGCAGCCCCCUGGGUUAGCACUGACGCUCAUACACGAAAGCGUGGGGAGCAAACAGGAUUAGAUACCCUAGUAGUCC